ensembl:lincRNA
GAGAGAUGGAAAGAAAAGGAGAAAGGAAAGAGAAAAAUACGAUUAAUGAAUACACUAAAUAAAAACUUUUAAGAAGAAAGUUAAAAUAAUGAAUAUUAUACUGAAGUAAUGACUGUAUAUCUGAUGCUGAAGGAAUGACAAAUGAGAAAAAGGAAAUAGUGCCAUGCGGACCGGAGUGGAACAAGAUUCUCACAGAACAGAAAUUUUAAAUGAAUCACAACCUCUGACUAAAAGAGUGGAAUAAAUAAAAAGAUGGAAUCCAGUAGAACCCUCAAGUUUCAGGACUUGACAGGGAAAGGAGUUAACAUUUGGAAAGUAACUGCUAUGUGGGAGAAAUACAGAGGAGUCUUGCAUGAUUCACUAAGCUUCAUUAACUCAGUUAGCCGAAAUUAUCACGGAAAAGCAAAUAUAAACAACAGACAAGC